CGUCGCUUGACAUUGAGCGCCAUCAAGUGACGUCACUGUGUAAAACACCUCAAUAUUCGUUUAUGAAGACAAAUCACUUCAUAACCUAUAUCUGGCGUUGUGGCAUACACAUCUCUCUCCAUUUUGUUUGUUUGACUACAUAGGAAGUGAUAAAUAACAGGUUAAACGUGGCCCGUCAUAUCCCUUGUAAGUUUGUAUGAGUUCAAAUGAAUGGCCAUUAGAGCUCUACUCACUGGUUCCAGAGCUGAUGAUGGCCUGUCUUACAGAGAAGCUCAUCAGAGAGUUCCUGACCCUUCAGGGGCAGGCAGCACUGUCAACCUACAUCACUGUCAAUCACAUGAGGGGAUGGAUCAUCUUCAAUGUUGAGAAAGCCUUCCUGAAGAAAUUUCAGGAAGAGAGAGGGGAGAAAACCCUGCCUCGUUAAGCUGACAGACAUUGAAGGUGAGGAGUCGGCACAGGCUCGUUAACAUCAAGCAGGAUGUUUGGAGAGAGCUCAAUGAGGAACGAUGCCCGUCUCUCCGGUCUACUGGAAAGGAAUGACCAGCUUAUCUUAUCCCUGUUUGUGACUAUGUUCAGUGUAAUACUGUCGUAAUAGAGGCAUGCUGUGUGUUUCAUAAGAAAUACAUGCAGUGCAUUCAGAAAGUAUUCAUACCCCUUGACUUAUUCCACA
ensembl:lncRNA